ACUACGGGUGGCAGCAGUGGGGGAUAUUGCACAAUGGGGGGAACCCUGAUGCAGCGACGCCGCGUGGGUGAAGAAGCGCCUCGGCGCGUAAAGCCCUGUCAGCAGGGAAGAAAAUGACGGUACCUGAAGAAGAAGCCCCGGCUAACUACGUGCCAGCAGCCGCGGUAAUACGUAGGGGGCAAGCGUUAUCCGGAUUUACUGGGUGUAAAGGGGGCGCAGCCGGCGAUGCAAGCCAGGAGUGAAAGCCCGGGGCCCAACCCCGGGACUGCUCUUGGAACUGCGUGGCUGGAGUGCAGGAGGGGCAGGCGGAAUUCCUGGUGUAGCGGUGAAAUGCGUAGAUAUCAGGAGGAACACCGGUGGCGAAGGCGGCCUGCUGGACUGCAACUGACGUUGAGGCCCGAAAGCGUGGGGAGCAAACAGGAUUAGAUACCCGGGUAGUC
rnacentral:rRNA from 1 species